CACGUAGGGGACGAGCGUUGUCCGGAUUCAUUGGGCGUAAAGCGCGCGUAGGCGGCCUGGUAAGUCGGAUGUGAAAACCUGGGGCUCAACCCCAGGCGUGCACCCGAUACUGCCGGGCUGGAGGCAGGUAGGGGAGAUCGGAAUUCCUGGUGUAGCGGUGAAAUGCGCAGAUAUCAGGAGGAACACCGGUGGCGAAGGCGGUUCUCUGGGCCUUACCUGACGCUGAGGAGCGAAAGCGUGGGGAGCGAACAGG
rnacentral:rRNA from 1 species